GGGGGAUUAGCUCAGCUUGGCUAGAGCACUUGCCUUGCACGCAAGGGGUCAUCGGUUCGAGUCCGAUAUCCUCCACAA
rnacentral:tRNA from 1 species